UCCAUUUUUAGGAAAAAUAAUAUGUUGGUUUCCGAUAGUGGCGAGUUUGUGUUAUGUGAUUCCUGGAAAUGUGCGACUGUGUUAAAUUGCGUGUUUCAAAUUGUGAAUAUGAAAAAAGGUGGGUGGGGAGGAAUAUGAAUUGGGAAUUUGGAGGUUGUAUUUGAGUUCAAGUGUGAUAGCAUUUCUAUCUUUUUUAAAUAUCAUGCGGGAAACAUUUUAAUCUUGGUUUCAUGUGUAAAUUGUUGCAAUGAGGUUACAACAAAAUUUUUUUGUUGGGUUGGAGGGUGUUUAGGAAGAUGGCGCUUGAGAUUCACAAUGGUUUGACUUUUUCAUUGCUGCAGCAUAGAACUUGUUUGGGAAGAAUAACAACACAGAUUCAGAUUCAUUACAGAGGGAAGGAGAAAAUCUGCAGGCCAUGGAGAGUACCAACGUCAACUUAGUUGCCAUUCUUAUAUGGUAAUGGAUGCAUCAUCCCUUGGAGAACAUAUAGAAUGUGCAAAGGAACAGGUCAGCGAAGGUGAACCUGAAUAUUUUUCUGAUUAUCCUUGUUUUCAUGUCAAAAUAUUGAGCACUGGCUGGGUGCCUAUUGAAAGACAGGAGUGCACGUUGGGUGUGCAAGCAAGACAUUCAAGAUUUUAAGAAAAGAAAAUCCCAAACAGGGAAAAGAAAAGCAACUCUUUGAACUGAAUAUGGACAUGAUCUCACAUUCUCCAGCUUCUAGGAAUAAGAUGCUAGUGGUUUCCCCUCUACUGUA